GGGCGAUUAGCUCAGUUGGGAGAGCACCUGCCUUACAAGCAGGGGGUCACUGGUUCGAGCCCGGUAUCGCCCACCA
rnacentral:tRNA from 298 species